GAUGAACGCUGACAGAAUGCUUAACACAUGCAAGUCCACUUGAACUUCGGUUUGGGUGGCGGACGGGUGAGUAACGCGUAAAGAACUUGCCUCACAGCUAGGGACAACAUUUGGAAACGAAUGCUAAUACCUGAUAUUAUGAUUAUAUGGCAUCGUAUAAUUAUGAAAGCUAUAUGCGCUGUGAGAGAGCUUUGCGUCCCAUUAGCUAGUUGGAGAGGUAACAGCUCACCAAGGCGAUGAUGGGUAGCCGGCCUGAGAGGGUGAUCGGCCACAAGGGGACUGAGACACGGCCCUUACUCCUACGGGAGGCAACAGUGGGGAAUAUUGGACAAUGGACCGAGAGUCUGAUCCAGCAAUUCUGUGUGCACGAUGAAGUUUUUCGGAAUGUAAAGUGCUUUCAGUUGGGAAGAAAAAAAUGACGGUACCAACAGAAGAAGUGACGGCUAAAUACGUG
rnacentral:rRNA from 1 species